rnacentral:rRNA from 1 species
UGCAGGCUACAACCCGCCUGCAUGAAGUUGGAAUCGCUAGUAAUCGCGGAUCAGCAUGCCGCGGUGAAUACGUUCCCGGGCCUUGUACACACCGCCCGUCACACCAUGAGAGUCGGGAACACCCGAAGUCCGUAGCCUAACCGCAAGGGGGGCGCGGCCGAAGGUGGGUUCGAUAAUUGGGGUGAAGUCGUAACAAGGUAUC